UACGGAGGGGGCUAGCGUUGUUCGGAAUUACUGGGCGUAAAGCGCGCGUAGGCGGACCUGCAAGUCGGGGGUGAAAGCCCGAGGCUCAACCUCGGAACUGCCUUCGAUACUGCGGGUCUCGAGUCCGGGAGAGGUGAGUGGAAUUCCUAGUGUAGAGGUGAAAUGCGUAGAUAUCUGGAGGAACACCGGUGGCGAAGGCGGCAUCCUGGACCGGCAUUGACGCUGAAUAGCGAAAGCCAGGGGAGCAAACGGG
rnacentral:rRNA from 1 species